CACAGAGCCACACAAUUUCUGAUGGUUGUCUUUCCACAAUGCUUUGCUAGCUGGGGAUCUACAAUUUACUAAUUCUUGCAGGAUUCUACUUGUGAGAAGUGUCUGUGUGUUUGUAUGUAAGAAUGUUUUUGUAUGGAGUAUGUGUGUAUGAAUGAAGGGGCUGUGUAGUGUUGGCUUUCAAAUGGAGAGGUAUGUUUGUAUGUACUGUUGCCAGUAGAAUGCAGUGGUGUACUUGUGUGUACUAUUGGUGUUUCAAUGCAGUUCUGUGCUUGCGUGUAGACUGUGUGUGUGUUUAAAUUAAGGGAUAUGUUGUUAGUAAUUGUUUGAGCCACAGGGGUGUGUUUGUAUGUGGUAUUGGUGUUUGAAUGAAGGGCAUAUUUGUGUACAGUGGUGGUGUUUGAAUGUAGCGUGUGUUUAUGUGCAGUGUUAGAAUUUGUAUGCUGGGAUGUAUUCACUGCCACACACAUACACAAACUGACACAGGUAUGCAUACACAUAGUUACACAUAUCCAUUAACACACACAAGCAAGUAUCUAUUCACAUAUUUUAGCAACCCUCCUGCUUAAUUAUCUUUUGGGUUCAGGAGGGUGACUUCCCUGGGGUCCAGUGGGAGGUGGGUGGCCAAGACUGAUGGGAAUCUGCAGCAAGUCUGCCUCUCACUCCAUCUUCUGUGCGUUUCAGUUCCACCCUACCUGCAUGGCUCACACUGCAGGCUGAAGGGAAAAGACCAGAACUUACUUUCACCCAGCAAGCUGUGGGGGAGUAUUAAUGUGACAGGCGCCUUAUCCGGUGCACUUUUAAAGGUCCGUGGGGCUCAAUCAAACAGUCCUUCCACUUAGUCACCCAAAGGGCCUUCACCACUGCCCUCACAGUUGCACAGCCACCACCAAAUCGCGCACAUGGUACUUCUUUACCCCUUCCUCCUAGAUGAUAAGUUUGUUUAACUUCUUCACUAGUUAUGGAUGGCAAUUCAUCUUAAUUUGGGUCAAUCGAGUGAUCGGUCAAAUUCUUGAACUCUGAGCUGAAAUGUAACAAAAUGAAAGAAAGAGGUGAUUGAUAGGAAAAAAUAUGAUUGAUUGGCUAGGGGACAGUCAUUAACUGUUGAUUAUAUUCCAUAGAGCACCGUCAAAUUCCGCAGCGCUUUACAAUGGGUGGACGAACAGACAUGUAGUUGUAACCAGACAAGUUGGACACACAGGAACAGAGGGGUUGAGGGCCCUGCUCAAUGAGCUUACAUGCUAGAGGGAGUGGGGUAAAAUGACACAAAAAGGUAAGGAUAGUAUUAGACUAGUGACAGUUGCAGAAG